GUCUUUUGCUCUUUUCUUCGGGUCAUCUCCUCAAAGGCUCAGAGUCUCAGACCCAUUUCCUGAAACAGCCUUUCCCCAGUUGAUUCAAUUGAAAUCUCAAAUUACCAAAAGUUCAGAUGUCUUCGUCUUCUGUUUUUGCUUAGUUUCCUUUUCGUUUCAUUCCCAAAUUUCUCUGAAUCCCAGUUUCCUUUCAACUUCGAAUCUCGUCGUUACCGGCGUCUUCAAUCUCUCGCCCAAUGAUAUCAGGGUUACAGCGUGUCUCUGAUUUAUUGCUGUCUCCACCACCUUCUUCUUCGUCAACGUCAUUCUGAUGAGCUCAGACCAAAAGACGGAGAGAGAGCUCCUCUCGUCUCUCUAAUCACCUAAUGCCUUAAUAUUUUCUUCCUCAAUUUUUCUUUCUCAGAGAAUCAAGGGUUUCUCUGAUGCUACAGAAUAUCAGAAAUUGCGAAAAUGAAGAGGAAGAGUAAAAACAGAAGAUACUGGCGAAUACUCGGCCAUGUGGUGGUCGGAGGGUAUUGGCGGCGUGGAUGGGGUUCGUCGACAACGUGCAGAAGCUUCAGCCACGCGAAAUCAGCUCCAAGCGUGACCCCGGGCUUUCAUUAUGAGCGAUGCCCAGGAGAGGUUUCGAUAUAUUUGUCUCCAAGUACAAAUAUAUAGUUGCUUUUGAUUUUAACGGAGGUGAAAAGUUGGGGCUUUUGAUGGUUUGUUACUGGGUUUGCUGGUUGGUGUUUUAUGAAGAGCUCUGGGGUUUGUGCUGGUUUGGAUUUAAGUCCGUAGUAAAAAUAAGGGGGACUUAUCUCUGUUCAAAAUAAGGGAUUUCACCUUGCUGUUUUCACUUUAUAGACUUUAAUCAACUUAUUUCAAUCUACUUCUCUAGAAGCAUUGAUGAGGUUUAAACUCAUGCAUGAUUGAAUUAAACGAAAACAUAACAUGAUAACUAAGUAGUGUUGGACAUGUCUAGAUGCAUGUAUCAAGGAAAAAGUAAAGAGGGUGUGGUCGUGUCAUCUGCUGGUGUUGUUAUAUACAAACCAAAAUGGCCCAAAGAUAAACUAAUGGAUAAAGAAUGUUGGUCUGACCUAGAAGCUAAGGUAUUAUAACAAUGCCUUAAAUUUCAGGAAAAUAUGGGCUAGGUAGUUCUCCAGACGUGAAUGUUAUUUCUCAUUUGCAUUAUAUUGAUCUUCGUUAUCAUUUUGGUUGAAUUCUUGUGUGGUGUUAAGAACAUUACAGACCAAGUUUGGCAACUAUUGUCUUGCCAAGACAAUAGCAGAAACUGAAGCUUUGGAGUAUGCAAAGAAAAGUGAUUGAAAUUCAUUACUGUUUGUCCAUCUAUUGUUUUUGGUCCUUGUGACUUUUGACAAGCGUAUGAGUUGUACUUCAUCUUUGUGUAGGUGCUGUUCUAUGUGUUUUUGGUUUUGUUGUGUAUGUCUAGCUUAGUAUUUUGGGAGAGAGAAUUACUAAGUAUAAUUGCUUAUAAACAAGGAUAGUUAAAUUGCAUGUAAAUAAAUGAAAUUCAUAUUUAAAUUUUGUUUUUGUGUUUGUUUUGAUUGUAGUCUAAUUUCUAGAUAAGGUGGCCUGAGCAUUAUCCUUGUGACUAUGAAACUUUAAUUGCCAAGACACAAAGGUGUAUUUUUUGAGUUCUGUGAGGAGAUUAUGAUUCUAGGAAGUUAGACAUCAUAAUUAUGUCAGAGAUGCAAUAUUGAUUCGAAUAGAUAAAUCUGAAAACUUAUUUUACAAUAAACUGUAAAGAAUGGUUUCAUUCUUCUUGAGCUACUCUUUCUCUAAGUUGAAUUGCCUUUGUUUAAAAGCUACUUCAUCCGUAAUUUUUCUCUCUAUCGGUGGCUCUUGCAUGAAAAGAUAGUUUCUGUUUCUUGUUGUUGUUUGCACUCUCCCCCCUUAACUUGAUUUCUUUAUGUUAAUACUUAUCCAUCCUAAUAGCCAGACCUCAAAGGUAAGGAAAAGGGGGCAUUCAUCAAGUUGUAGAACGAAGAAGGCCAAAGCACUGAGCUCUACAUUCCCAGAAAAUGUUAUACAACUUAACUAAAUUAAAAUGCUCCAGCAUUACCUGUUAUGUAAUUUUAGAGGGUUUAUCUAAACUUGUGUGGUAUGUGGAUGCAGCUCAGCAACUAUAACUUGAAAUUCAAAGAGAACUUGUCUUUGCAGCAUCCCUUAAAGCUUUGUGCAGAAUUCCGUAAAGCUUUUCUAUAACCAGUUACAAGCAUAAUUGGAUGGCAGAACAUUAAGUAGCAAUGAGUUAAAGGUUGUCAUUGGGAGACCUAGCUAGAAGGAACAUUGUUGGACAGAGACUCUGCAUUGCGUGAUUGGGAGGAUAAUGUGAAGGCUUUGUUUCUCCAUGGCUAGACAGCAGUAGAGGACAAUGAGUUAAAGAUUGUCAUUUCUAGAAGUCGAGAAUACUGGAAAGUAAAGAUGCUAAAGGAUUUGUUCAAGGAAUUUGCCAACUAUCAAUGAAGACUUCAUGAGAGGCAUGUUUUGGAACAAUAUGUAUUAGCUUUUGAUAUCCCAAGUAGAUAUGGCAUUUACUAGAAUGCUUUUCUUGUUUUGGUGUUGGCUUGGAUGAUUGGGAAAUGCUCCCUUUUAA